rnacentral:rRNA from 1 species
UACAGAGGGUGCGAGCGUUAAUCGGAAUGACUGGGCGUAAAGGGUGCGUAGGUGGUUGAGUAAGUUAGAGGUGAAAGUCCUGGGCUUAACCUGGGGAUUGCCUAUAAUACUGCGAGGCUAGAGUACUGUAGAGGGGAGUGGAAUUUCCGGUGUAGCGGUGAAAUGCGUAGAUAUCGGAAGGAACACCGGUGGCGAAGGCGGCUUGCUGGGCCAGUUCUGACGCUGAGGAGCGAAAGCGUGGGGAGCGAACAGG